AUACGGAGGAUCCGAGCGUUAUCCGGAUUUAUUGGGUUUAAAGGGAGCGUAGAUGGAUGUUUAAGUCAGUUGUGAAAGUUUGCGGCUCAACCGUAAAAUUGCAGUUGAUACUGGAUAUCUUGAGUGCAGUUGAGGCAGGCGGAAUUCGUGGUGUAGCGGUGAAAUGCUUAGAUAUCACGAAGAACUCCGAUUGCGAAGGCAGCCUGCUAAGCUGCAACUGACAUUGAGGCUCGAAAGUGUGGGUAUCAAACAGGAUUAGAUACCCUGGUAGGCCACACGGUAAACGAUGAAUACUCGCUGUUUGCGAUAUACGGCAAGCGGCCAAGCGAAAGCGUUAAGUGUUCCACCUGGGGAGUACGGCGGCAACGGUGAAACUCAAAGGAAUUGACGGGG
rnacentral:rRNA from 1 species